rnacentral:rRNA from 1 species
ACGGCGCACGGGUGCGUAACACGUGGGCAAUCUGCCCUUCGAUGGGGAAUAACCUCGCGAAAGCGAGGCUAAUUCCGCAUAACAUUCCUUGGACCUCGGUUCGAGGACUCAAAGCCGUAAGGCGUCGAAGGAGGGGCCCGCGCACGAUUAGCUAGUUGGUAGGGUAACGGCCUACCAAGGCUUUGAUCGUUAGCUGGUCUGAGAGGAUGGCCAGCCACACUGGAACUGAGACACGGUCCAGACUCCUACGGGAGGCAGCAGUGGGGAAUCUUGCACAAUGGGCGAAAGCCUGAUGCAGCGACGCCGCGUGGGGGAUGAAGCAUCUCGGUGUGUAAACCCCUUUCGACCCGGACGAAUGCCUUGCAAGAGGAGUGACGGUACGGGUAUAAGAAGCCCCGGCUAACUACGUGCCAGCAGCCGCGGUAUGACGUAGGGGGCCAGCGUUGUUCGGAAUUACUGGGUGUAAAGGGUUCGUAGGCGGUGUGGCAAGUUGGGGGUGAAAUCUCUGGGCUCAACCCAGAGGCUGCUUCCAA